AAAAAAUAAUAAUAAUAAAUAAAAAUUACAAGACGAUAAGCUAAUACAAAGGCAAACGAUCUCUCUUUUUCUCUCACUUUAUUAUUCUUCUUCUUCAACUACUGCUCUUCAACAUUUCAAUAUUCUUAUUUCUUCAAUAUUCUUCUACAUAAAUCUGUUUCUCUGCUUUAAUUUCUUCUAAUUAUGUCUGCUUUGAGAAGAUGGAAGAAGCUCAACCGCAUUCCUGUCGUUUUUGCCCAUCAAGAUCGCUUUCUCCACCUCUCAUCUAUCUCCACCCAUUUGAACUAUCUCAACGUUGGAUGCAACCGCCGGCGAGACUCUCUCAUCGGAUUUCAAGAGAGGUACAAGUGGGACCAUGGCUUUGGCUCCGCCGGUGGUGGUGGAAUUUCCAAUAAUGGCGAUUCUGAUAUUCGUAAAAUUAGGGCUGAAACCAAUUGCCCACGCUGUUACAAGCACAUGGAUCUCCUCUUCUCCAAUCGUCACUUUCCUUCUUCUAAUCUUGAUUUGAAUCCAUAUCACCAUUACUCCAAUCGUGGAGGACCUAACAAUAAUAGUCAUAAUCAUGAUGAUAACAAUAAUAAUUCUAGUUCUAGCAGCAGCAACAGCAGCCUUCAGGCCAUUAAUUUUUGCUUCAGUUGUAAAACCGCCUAUUACUUCCGUCCUCACAAGAUUGCUCCUCUUCAGGGAAGCUUUAUUGAAAUUGGCAGAGUUGGUAACAAUAAUAAACCCAAGAACAGAAAUUCUUCCACCACACAAUUCAAUAACGCCAGUGAGGAUUAUACCAAUGCUAUUAGUAAAAGACUCAGGGCCUCCUUUUGGGAUACUCUCAGGACCUAUGCAGGGGAUCCACCUGAGGAUUGGCCUCCCCCUGCUGGGAAUGUCCUGGCUGUUCACACUCCGCCUGGCCCGCCAUUUGCUCCUGGAGUUAAUGUGAUUAGAGCCACAGGGCCAGGUGGAGGAGGUGGCUCAAAUGGUGGUAGUAAUGGUGGAAAUGGUGGAGCAGGUGGAGGAGGGGAAAGGAGUGGUGGAUGGGGUGGAUCUAAUUUGGGAAAGGAUUUGCCCACGCCGAAGGAGAUUUGCAAGGGUCUUGAUAAGUUCGUUAUUGGUCAAGACAGAGCCAAAAAGGUGCUUUCUGUGGCUGUCUACAACCACUAUAAGAGGAUUUACCAUGCCUCUUUGCAGAAAGGGUCCGAAGCAGAAUCAGGAAUUUCAGAUGCAAUGGACGAUGAUUCUAAUGUGGAGCUAGAUAAAAGCAAUGUUCUUUUGAUGGGCCCAACUGGCUCAGGCAAGACAUUGCUUGCAAAAACACUAGCGCGCUUUGUUAAUGUACCAUUUGUCAUUUCUGAUGCGACAGCCUUAACUCAGGCUGGAUAUGUUGGUGAAGAUGUUGAGUCCAUAUUGUAUAAACUACUUGUGGUUGCUGAUUUCAAUGUGCAAGCAGCUCAGCAAGGGAUAGUCUACAUUGAUGAAGUUGACAAAAUAACUAAGAAGGCUGAGAGUUUAAACAUUAGCAGAGAUGUUUCAGGUGAGGGUGUCCAGCAAGCAUUAUUGAAAAUGCUAGAAGGAACUUGCUACAUGAAAAAGAUAGCGAAAGGAAGAAAGGAACGAGGAGAAAGAAGGGCAGAGCAAACAAGGGAAGGGGGCAAAUAUGAGAGAAAGGGAAUAAGAGUAUGACGGCUACACAUGAGUGAGAGGACGAGAAAGGAAAGAGUAAACAAGGGAAGGUGCGAUGAUGAGAGAAAGGGAAGUGGAGGAUAGCUACAACACAUGAAUGAGAGGAAGAAGAAUGAAACCCUAACUUAAUAUGUCUCUUUUAUCAAGCUCUUAAAUAAAAGUGCAUUAUAUUAUACGAUUUAAUUCAGUUUAUACGAUUUUUUUUUUGGAGUAUAAAAACCAAACUAAACUAAAUAAAUGGAGUCUUUUAAAAUGUAAAAUUGAACUGAAUUGAAUUAUUGAAUAAACCAAACCGAAUUUCUAAAUCAAGGUGGUUUUGGUUCGAUAAUUCAGUUUGAAUCGGAUAGUGCUCAUCCCUACUUCAGUAUAGUAGAUAUAUGAUUUCUGUCUUUGCUAUUACCAAAAAUGCAAAGCGAUAUUCUUUUUAGUGGUGGUGAUGGCAUAGGUGGCAAUGGUGGUUUUUUUAUUUUUUGUAUGGUGGUGAUAGUUAAUUGGUAGAAGCAACUAAGAUGGUGAUAGUGGCCAUGACUGCUAUUGGCAAGGAUGACAAUCCCAAUGAUCUAAAUGAGAAGGCAUUAAAGAUCUGUUUGGUUUAACGAGUGCAAUUAGCUAUUGGUAACUUGAAACUAAAGACCCAAAUGCUAAAAACUAUAAAUCCCAACUUUAGCGUUUCAGUUAU
rnacentral:misc_RNA from 1 species